rnacentral:rRNA from 2 species
CGAACUCUGGUAUUGAUUGGUGCUUGCAUCAUGAUUUACAUUUGAGUGAGUGGCGAACUGGUGAGUAACACGUGGGAAACCUGCCCAGAAGCGGGGGAUAACACCUGGAAACAGAUGCUAAUACCGCAUAACAACUUGGACCGCAUGGUCCGAGUUUGAAAGAUGGCUUCGGCUAUCACUUUUGGAUGGUCCCGCGGCGUAUUAGCUAGAUGGUGGGGUAACGGCUCACCAUGGCAAUGAUACGUAGCCGACCUGAGAGGGUAAUCGGCCACAUUGGGACUGAGACACGGCCCAAACUCCUACGGGAGGCAGCAGUAGGGAAUCUUCCACAAUGGACGAAAGUCUGAUGGAGCAACGCCGCGUGAGUGAAGAAGGGUUUCGGCUCGUAAAACUCUGUUGUUAAAGAAGAACAUAUCUGAGAGUAACUGUUCAGGUAUUGACGGUAUUUAACCAGAAAGCCACGGCUAACUACGUGCCAGCAGCCGCGGUAAUACGUAGGUGGCAAGCGUUGUCCGGAUUUAUUGGGCGUAAAGCGAGCGCAGGCGGUUUUUUAAGUCUGAUGUGAAAGCCUUCGGCUCAACCGAAGAAGUGCAUCGGAAACUGGGAAACUUGAGUGCAGAAGAGGACAGUGGAACUCCAUGUGUAGCGGUGAAAUGCGUAGAUAUAUGGAAGAACACCAGUGGCGAAGGCGGCUGUCUGGUCUGUAACUGACGCUGAGGCUCGAAAGUAUGGGUAGCAAACAGGAUUAGAUACCCUGGUAGUCCAUACCGUAAACGAUGAAUGCUAAGUGUUGGGAGGGUUUCCGCCCUUCAGUGCUGCAGCUAACGCAUUAAGCAUUCCGCCUGGGGAGUACGGCCGCAAGGCUGAAACUCAAAGGAAUUGACGGGGGCCCGCACAAGCGGUGGAGCAUGUGGUUUAAUUCGAAGCUACGCGAAGAACCUUACCAGGUCUUGACAUACUAUGCAAAUCUAAGAGAUUAGACGUUCCCUUCGGGGACAUGGAUACAGGUGGGUGCAUGGUUGUCGUCAGCU